rnacentral:lncRNA from 1 species
AUGGACUUUCUUCUGCCUCUGCCACCCCAGAGACAGCAAAACCAACUCCUCUUCUUCCUCCUCCUCCUCUUCAGGCUACUGGGCAUGAAGACGACAAGGAAGAAGACAUUUAGGAUGAUCCACUUCCGCUUAAUGAAUAACUGUCCCUCACUGUGUUGUCCAGGCCAGUCUUGAACUCCCGGCCUUAAGCAAUUCUCCCACCUUGGCCUCCUAAAGUGCUGCAAUUACAGGGGUGAGCCAUCAUGCUAGACCUGAUCUAAAGAAAGAAAAUCUUUUUGUACAGAGGUAGGAUGUGUUUGUGUUUUAAGCUAAGUGUUGUUAUAAAAGAGUCAAAAAGCUUUUUUAAAAGUUUGUAAGUGGAAAAGUUACAUAAGCUAAAGUUAAUUUAUUAUUGAAGAAAGGAAAUUUUAAAAAAUGAAUUUAGUGUAGCUCAAGUAUCCAAUGUUUAUCAAGUCUACAGCAAUGUACAGUAAUGUCCUAGGCCUUCACAUUCACUCACCACUCACUCACUGACUCACUCAGAGCAACUUCCUGUCCAGGAAGCUCCAUUCACAUAAGUGUCCUAUGCAGGUGUACCGUUUUUUAAUCUUUUAUACUGCAUUUUUACUAUGCCUUUUCUAUGUUUAGAUAUGUUAAGAUACACAAAUACUUACCAUUGUAUUACAAUUGCCUACAGUAUCAUGCUGUACAGGUUUGCAGUCCAGGAGCAAUAGGCUAUACCUAGGUGUGUAGUAGGUUACACCAUGUAGGUUUGUGUAAGUACACUCUAUGUUGUUCACACAAUGACAAAUCACCUAAGAGACACAUGAUUGUAUAUACAGUGUGUGUGUAUAUAAUAUAUAUUAAAUGUAAAUAUAUAAACAUACUAUAUAUUAAAUGUAUAGGCAUAUAUAUAAACUAUAUAGGUAUAUAUAGUUGAAAUAACUUAUUGAACUACUCUUAAACUAUUUAUCAAAUUAUAAGUUAAAUAAAAAUAAUAAAAUGGUUAUUUUAUAUCAUGUCAUGCCAUCAACCAACUUAAGAAAUACAUCACUGUAAUUCUGAAAUCACUCUUUAUACCCUCUUCAACAUAUUUCCUCUCUCUCUCAUUUUUAUUUAUUUUACACAUAAAUGUAUAUUAUUAACAGUUUAUUGGUUGUGUAUUUCUCUGAAUUUAUAUAAACUGAAUUAUAUUCUAUAUAUUUUUUGAGACUUUCUUUUAGGCACAAAAUAUGUUGAGAUUCAUCCACGUUGAUGUAUAAACACUACCUUUCAUGGCAAUAGAACAGAACUUCAAUAUACAGCUAAGCUUCAAUUUGUGGUGAAAGAAGCUAUGUACUACGAAUUUUGAAAAUCUAGAGACAAUCCUCAAAUUUCUUUUUAUUCAUUAAUAUCUCCGGCCUUUGUCACCCAUCUUUAUUCCAAGUAGCAAUGGAGCUGAAAAUGAACAAUAACUUUGCCAGAUAAUACCUGAUAAUUGCAAAAGACUUACUACUUUCUGCAAGGUGACCAUUUAAGCCUCACCACAAAUGUAGGAAGUAGGCAUACCCCAAGUUUUCAGUCCGAUAGGUGAGAGAAUUGAGGCCUCAAGAUAUUUGGUGACUUUACUAGGAAACCCUUGAUGUAGCAGAGAGAUACAAAAAUCCACUGCUUUUCUCUCUCUCCACUGCAUGCCCGUGGAUCGAUGGGAAAUAAGAACAAGAAGGAAUUAUAGGCUUGAAUGACUUGAAAAUGUUGUGGCCAGAGACGGUGGCUCACGCCUGUAAUCUCAGCACUUUGGGAGGCCGAGGUGGGUGGAUCACCUGAGGUCAGGAGUUCGAAACCAGCCUGGCCAACAUGGUGAAACCCCAUCUCUACUAAAAAUACAAAAACUAACUGGGCAUAGUGGUGGGCACCUGUUAUCCCAGUUACUCAAGAGGCUGAGAAUCUCCUGAACCCAGGAGGCAAAUGUUGCAGUGAGCCAAGAUCGUGCCAUUGUACUCCAGCCUGGGCGACAAGAGUGAAACUCCAUCUCAAAAAAAAAAAAAGAAAGAAAAUGUUGUGAACAGUUUUUCCUGAUAUUUCAUAAUCUCAUUUUAACCUUUGGGUGUAAGUCUGAAGAAAAACCCAUUCUGAUGUAAUCCCCACAACUGAAAUUCAGCCUUGCUUUUGGCCUUCUAAUGCUUCAGAGAAAAGUGGUAUCACACAUUGGUGCACUGGCCAUGUGAAAUCUGCAUUCAGAACCUCUUUUCUAUAACUUUAUAGUGCAGAAGAAUGUUUAGUGAUGAGAUUUGCC